rnacentral:rRNA from 1 species
UACGGAGGGGGGCGAGCGUUAUUCGGAAUUAUUGGGCGUAAAGGGCGCGUAGGCGGCGCGAUAAGUCAAAGGUGAAAUCCCUCGGCUCAACUGAGGAACUGCCUUUGAAACUGUCGUGCUUGAGGCCGGGAGGGGGUAGCGGAAUUCCCAGUGUAGCGGUGAAAUGCGUAGAUAUUGGGAGGAACACCAGUGGCGAAGGCGGCUACCUGGACCGGUUCUGACGCUGAUGCGCGAAAGCGUGGGUAGCAAACAGG